UACGGAGGGGGUUAGCGUUGUUCGGAAUUACUGGGCGUAAAGCGCACGUAGGCGGCUUUGUAAGUCAGAGGUGAAAUCCCAGUGCUCAACACUGGAACUGCCUUUGAGACUGCAUCGCUUGAAUCCAGGAGAGGUGAGUGGAAUUCCGAGUGUAGAGGUGAAAUUCGUAGAUAUUCGGAAGAACACCAGUGGCGAAGGCGGCUCACUGGACUGGUAUUGACGCUGAGGUGCGAAAGCGUGGGGAGCAAACAGG
rnacentral:rRNA from 1 species